GGGAGGGGAGGGGGAGGGGGAGGGGAGGGGAAGGGGGGAAGUAAGGGAAGGGAAAGGAGGAGAAGGGGGCUGUUGGGAUCCGGUUCAAAUUAAGUUCUCAAGCGCUGGUGGAAGGUUUAGCUACAGGUCACGGAGAAGAUCAGGGAAGCAACAGGACACGUGGGGCAAGGGAGCGUGAGGCUUAGGAGCAAUUAGAGGGAGACAAAAAGGUUCUGCUAUCCACCAAACCUUCUUCGGUCUGGGCCCUCCCUUAGCAACCCUGGGGCUUUAUACUCC
rnacentral:lncRNA from 1 species